rnacentral:misc_RNA from 1 species
GAUGAAGAACGCAGCGAAAUGCGAUAAGUAGUGUGAAUUGCAGAAUUCAGUGAAUCAUCGAAUCUUUGAACGCACAUUGCGCCCCUUGGUAUUCCAUGGGGCAUGCCUGUUCGAGCGUCAUUUGUACCUUCAAGCUCUGCUUGGUGUUGGGUGAUUGUCUAUCUUUGUAGACUCGCCUUAAAGUCAUUGGCAGCCGGCAUAUUGGCCUGGGAGCGCAGCACAAGUCGCGCUUCUUGUCAUGAAUGUUGGCGUCCAGUAAGUCUACAUAUUUUGCUCUUGACCUCGGAUCAGGUAGGGAUACCCGCUGAACUUAAGCAUAUCAAUAAGCGGAGGA